UACGAAGGGGGCUAGCGUUGCUCGGAAUGACUGGGCGUAAAGGGCGCGUAGGCGGUUGAUGCAGUCAGAUGUGAAAUCCCCGGGCUUAACCUUGGAACUGCAUUUGAGACGCAUUGACUAGAGUUCGCGAGAGGGUUGUGGAAUUUCCAGUGUAGAGGUGAAAUGCUUAGAUAUUGGGAAGAACUCCGGUGGCGAAGGCGGCACCCUGGCUCGAAACUGACGCUGAUGCGCGAAGGUGUGGGGAGCAAACAGG
rnacentral:rRNA from 1 species